rnacentral:rRNA from 1 species
UUCUGGUUGAUCCUGCCGGACCUGACUGCUAUCGGAUUGAUACUAAGCCAUGCAAGUCUUUGUAGUAAUACAAGGCAUACGGCUCAGUAACGCGUAGUCAACCUACCCUAUGGAUGGGGAUAAUCUCGGGAAACUGAGCAUAAUACCCAACAGAUCAUCAGUUCUGGAAUGGUUGAUGAUUCAAAUGAUUUUUCGCCAUAGGAUGGGACUGCGGCCUAUCAGCUUGUUGGUGAGGUAAUGGCCCACCAAGGCAAUUACAGGUACGGGCUCUGAGAGGAGAAGCCCGGAGAUGGGUACUGAGACAAGGACCCAGGCCCUAUGGGGCGCAGCAGGCGAAAAAACUUUGCAAUGUGCGAAAGCACGACAAGGUUAAUCCGAGUGAUUUCUGCUAAAGGAAUCUUUUACCAGUUCUAAAAAUACUGGCGAAUAAGGGGUGGGCAAGUUCUGGUGUCAGCCGCCGCGGUAAAACCAGCACCUCAAGUGGUCAGGAGGAUUAUUGGGCCUAAAGCAUCCGUAGCCGGCUCUGUAAGUUUUCGGUUAAAUCUAUAUGCUCAACGUAUAGGCUGCCGAAAAUACUGCAUAGCUAGGGAAUGGGAGAGGUAGGCGGUACUCGGUAGGAAGGGGUAAAAUCCUUUGAUCUAUCGAUGACCACCUGUGGCGAAGGCGGUCUACCAGAACAUGUUCGACGGUGAGGGAUGAAAGCUGGGGGAGCAAACCGGAUUAGAUACCCGGGUAGUCCCAGCUGUAAACGAUGCAGACUCGAUAAUGCAUUGGCACAUAGCCAGUGCAGUGUCGCAGGGAAGCCGUUAAGUCUGCCGCCUGGGAAGUACGUACGCAAGUAUGAAACUUAAAGGAAUUGGCGGGGGAGCACCGCAAGGGGUGAAGCCUGCGGUUCAAUUGGAGUCAACGCCGGGA